rnacentral:rRNA from 1 species
AACGAACGCUGGCGGCAGGCUUAAUACAUGCAAGCCGAACGCCCCUUUCGGGGGGAGUGGCAGACGGGUGAGUAACGCGUGGGAACGUGCCCAAAGGUAGGGAACAACUCCGGGAAACUGGAGCUAAUACCCUAUGUGCCCGAGAGGGGAAAGAUUUAUCGCCUUUGGAUCGGCCCGCGUUGGAUUAGCUAGUUGGUGGGGUAAAAGCCUACCAAGGCGACGAACCAUAGCUGUUCUGAGAGGAAGAUCAGCCACACUGGGACUGAGACGCGGCCCAGAAUCCUACGGGAGGCAGCAGUAGGGAAUCUUGGACAAUGGGCGCAAGCCUGAUCCAGCCAUGCCGCGUGAGUGAUGAAGGCCUUAGGGUUGUAAAACUCUUUCGCAGGUGACGAUAAUGACGGUAACCUGAGAAGAAGCCCCGGCUAACUUCGUGCCAGCCGCCGCCGUAA